rnacentral:lncRNA from 1 species
CUUCCCCAAGCUCGGUUGGCCCUGUUCCUCCUCCCCUUCGCUAGCAGCUGCGCCUAGCCCGGGACUGGACCGAGUUAGAGUUGAGGCGCCGGAGGAGUAGCGCAGAGUGCGUGCGUCCCCCGCGGGGGGGUCCGUGCCUGCGAGCGGCGGGGAGCCGGAACACACUGUUUUUGUGGAGGGCGGCAAGUUGAUACAAGAAGAGCAGGUUCCCCAAAGAGAGCAGGGGAAAAGUCUUGGAGUAACUUAUUAAGGUAAACAGAUUGCAGUGGAUUUCUGAAUGGGUAAGUGUUGAUGAGCAGGAUUUUUCUGCUUCUGCUAUUCACUUUUUUCUUUAUAAAUUCUUUUUAAAGAAAUACACAGAAGGCUGCUUCUAGCUUUGCGCAGAGGUUCAGUGGUAUCCC